CCCUUAGAUGUUCUGGGCCGCACGCGCGCUACACUGAUGCAUUCAACAAGCCUAGCCUUGACCGAGAGGUCCGGGUAAUCUUUGAAACUGCAUCGUGAUGGGGCUAGAUUAUUGCAAUUAUUAAUCUUCAACGAGGAAUGCCUAGUAAGCGUGAUUCAUCAAAUCGCGUUGAUUACGUCCCUGCCCUUUGUACACACCGCCCGUCGCUCCUACCGAUUGAAUGUGUUGGUGAGGAGCUCGGAUUGGCAGCAGUUGGUGGUUCGCCACCGGCUAUUGCUGAGAAGUCCUCCAAACCGCCCCAUUUAGAGGAAGGAGAUGUCGUAACA
rnacentral:rRNA from 1 species